UCUAGGAAACGAAGACCUUACCUCCAGAAUGGUUUUUGUCAGGGUAGCUCUUAGCUGAGCUCUCUCGCUACUUUGUCCAAAAGGACAGGCACCCAUGUGACCGAAAAAGAACCAUGGAACCAGCUCCGUGUAGGAGACCACGCAAAAUAGGACCACCUGACCUCCUACCUGCGUCAAGUCACCUGCCCCUAAGGGCUUUUUUGCUGGCUCUACUGUCUCUACUAUCGCUUUUUCAGCCGAGUUGCCCUACAGUUUCCGUAAAUGAACUACAAAUAGUGGCUGAACAGAAGUAAAAAAAGUGUUAUGUAGCAGUAUACAGAAAUUUGAGAAAUCUUUCGCAUUAUGAAACUCCCAUCAAAAUGAAAUAAUUUCAGAUGCAACUGAUGGAGCAGCUACUAUGUGAAACAUUUCACCGUAUUAAUCAUGCACACUGAAUCGAAAAUAAAUGUGCCGUAAAUCAAAUGCUAUUCGGAGCUCAGCGGAAACGGCCACAGGUGGUUCCAAUAAGACCUGCUCUCAUUCAUUUCGACAAGCAGAUGAAUGCAGGAAAUGCCAGUGACAGAUGAAUGAAAGAAAAAAAGAAAGAAAAUUUGCUUCUAACUUUUAAAGUUUAUAACCUGUUACGCGAAGAAAAGUAUUCUUUUUACAAAAAUACCUGCUUAUUUGAAUUAUGAACAGAUUACUUUCAGCUCAAAACUUUUCAUUAAAAAAUCUAUAUAAAACUGCUUUGCAGCCAUUA